CACCUACAUACGUCUGGACGUUUCCUCCAUGAUCUCAGAAUGCAGAGACAUGGUGGCUGACUUGCAGAGGCGGGACUUUGUUGGCAUGGGAAACAUACGUUAACAUUGCCAAAGUGAUCUUCUAUGACAGUGACUGGAACAAUUCAGUGGACCAGCAGGUUAUGGACAAAGCUCACCUCCUGGGUCAGACCAAGCAGAUCCAGAGGAUGGUGGUCUCCGGGGUGAACUUUACGCCAGACACUCUGAAACCUGAAGACGAAGAGGAGUUGGAGAAGCGAUAUGAAUGGUCAACUAACAAAUACAUUUCAACCUCGCACACACGU